rnacentral:misc_RNA from 1 species
AACACUGUUAACCUGCGGUACCUGCGGAGGGAUCAUUACAGAGUUGCAAAACUCCCUAAACCAUUGUGAGCGUUACCUAAACCGUUGCUUCGGCGGGCGGCCCGGGUCCUUCCCGGCGCCCCUCGGCCCUCGCGGGCGCCCGCCGGAGGUAAACCAAACUAUUGCAUUGUAUGGCCUCUCUGAGUCUUCUGUACUGAAUAAGUCAAAACUUUUAACAACGGAUCUCAGAUCGGAAGAGCA